rnacentral:rRNA from 1 species
CCUACGUGAGGCAGCAGUGAGGAAUAUUGGUCAAUGGACGAGAGUCUGAACCAACCAAGUAGCGUGAAGGAUGACUGCCCUAUGGGUUGUAAACUUCUUUUAUAUGGGAAUAAAAUGUUCCACGUGUGGGAUUUUGUAUGUACCAUAUGAAUAAGGAUCGGCUAACUCCGUGCCAGCAGCCGCGGUAAUACGGAGGAUCCGAGCGUUAUCCGGAUUUAUUGGGUUUAAAGGGAGCGUAGGUGGAUUGUUAAGUCAGUUGUGAAAGUUUGCGGCUCAACCGUAAAAUUGUAGUUGAAACUGGCAGUCUUGAGUACAGUAGAGGUGGGCGGAAUUCGUGGUGUAGCGGUGAAAUGCUUAGAUAUCACGAAGAACUCCGAUUGCGAAGGCAGCUCACUGGACUGCAACUGACACUGAGGCUCGAAAGUGUGGGUAUCAAACAGGAUUAGAUACCCGAGUAGUC